CAGCCGCCACGGUAAUACGAGGGGGGCAAGCGUUGUUCGGAAUUAUUGGGCGUAAAGGGUGCGUAGGCGGUUUGGCAAGUUUGGUGUGAAAUCUUCGGGCUCAACUCGAAGUCUGCAUCGAAAACUGCCGGGCUUGAGUAUGGGAGAGGUGAGUGGAAUUUCCGGUGUAGCGGUGAAAUGCGUAGAUAUCGGAAGGAACACCUGUGGCGAAAGCGGCUCACUGGACCAUAACUGACGCUGAUGCACGAAAGCUAGGGGAGCAAACAGGAUUAGAUACCCCUGUAGUCCCUGUCUCUUAUAC
rnacentral:rRNA from 1 species